rnacentral:piRNA from 1 species
UCUGUUUUGUCGGAAACUGUC